rnacentral:rRNA from 1 species
GAUGAACGCUGGCGGCGUGCCUAAUACAUGCAAGUCGAGCGAACAGACGAGGAGCUUGCUCCUCUGACGUUAGCGGCGGACGGGUGAGUAACACGUGGAUAACCUACCUAUAAGACUGGGAUAACUUCGGGAAACCGGAGCUAAUACCGGAUAAUCUAUUGAACCGCAUGGUUCAAUAGUGAAAGACGGUUUUGCUGUCACUUAUAGAUGGAUCCGCGCCGCAUUAGCUAGUUGGUAAGGUAACGGCUUACCAAGGCAACGAUGCGUAGCCGACCUGAGAGGGUGAUCGGCCACACUGGAACUGAGACACGGUCCAGACUCCUACGGGAGGCAGCAGUAGGGAAUCUGCCGCAAUGGGCGAAAGCAUGACGGAGCAACGCCGCGUGAGUGAUGAAGGUCUUCGGAUCGUAAAACUCUGUUAUUAGGGAAGAACAAAUGUGUAAGUAACUAUGCACGUCUUGACGGUACCUAAUCAGAAAGCAACGGCUAACUACGUG